CUUCGGUUCCAUGGUUUUGUUGCUGCUGCUGGUGUUGCAUCAAAGCUACAAGAUGUAUCUGCAAAGCAUUGUAAUUGUUGGUUACUUGACUAAGCAUGUCUCUGAACCUUUGAUUUUCUGCAUUCAUUCUUUGGAGCUCAACUUGCAAUUGCGCUAACUCACUUCUGGAUUUAUCAUCGACGUCCGAUGAUACCCCAUCAUCCACCGUGGAUUGAUCACUUGCAGUAUUAGCAGUGAGAAGGUGCAAACCAGUAUUUACAUCAAGGCUUGACCUUGGAGAAUUCUCCUUCUUGACAGCGACACAUGCGGCUUUGGAAUCAUGAUCAUCGCCGUGAAUGCAAUUAUCGGCAACAGCUCUAUUCUUCUUAUCUGAAAAGAAGUCGAUUUCACCAACAAGCACACGGUGGUCGUCUGCGGGAGAUGGUUUUGCCUGGUCAUCCAGGCGGGAAAGGUUGACAGGGAAGGGAAACAUCCGAAGAGAUUGAGCAGGAAU
rnacentral:misc_RNA from 1 species